rnacentral:rRNA from 1 species
CAAACUGGAGAUGGCGACCGGCGCACGGGUGAGUAACACGUAUCCAACCUGCCGAUAACUCGGGGAUAGCCUUUCGAAAGAAAGAUUAAUAUCCGAUAGCAUAUAUUUCCCGCAUGGGUUUUAUAUUAAAGAAAUUCGGUAUGAGAUGGGGAUGCGUUCCAUUAGUUUGUUGGGGGGGUAACGGCCCACCAAGACUACGAUGGAUAGGGGUUCUGAGAGGAAGGUCCCCCACAUUGGAACUGAGACACGGUCCAAACUCCUACGGGAGGCAGCAUG